GGUCAAGUUGUUAAGAGCAUACGGUGGAUGCCUUGGCACCAGGAGCCGAUGAAGGACGUAGGAGGCUGCGAUAAGCCUCGGGGAGCUGUCAACCGAGCUGAGAUCCGAGGAUUUCCGAAUGGGGAAACCCGGCCCCAGUCAUGUGGGGUCACCUGCACCUGAAUGUAUAGGGUGUGUGGAGGGAACGCGGGGAAGUGAAACAUCUCAGUACCCGCAGGAAGAGAAAACAACCGUGAUUCCGUGAGUAGUGGCGAGCGAAAGCGGAAGAGGCUAAACCAGUUUCGUGUGAUACCCGGCAGGGGUUGCGUUACUGGGGUCGUGGGACCUAUCAGCUAGAUCUGCCGGUCUGGCAAGAAGUAAGAAAGCAUCGCGUUAGUUGAACGCUCUGGGAAGGGCGACCGUAGAGGGUGAGAGUCCUGUAGGCGAAAACGUGAUGGUCUUCUGAUGGUGUUCCCAAGUAGCAGCGAGCUCGUGGAAUUUGCUGUGAAUCUGGCGGGACCACCCGCUAAGCCUAAAUACUCCCUGGUGACCGAUAGCGGACUAGUACCGUGAGGGAAAGGUGAAAAGUACCCCGGGAGGGGAGUGAAAGAGUACCUGAAACCGUGUGCUUACAAUCCGUCAGAGCCUUCGGGUGAUGGCGUGCCUUUUGAAGAAUGAGCCUGCGAGUUAGUGGUGCGUGGCGAGGUUAACCCGUGUGGGGUAGCCGUAGCGAAAGCGAGUCUGAAUAGGGCGAAAUAGUCGCGUGCUCUAGACCCGAAGCGGAGUGAUCUACCCAUGGCCAGGGUGAAGCGACGGUAAGACGUCGUGGAGGCCCGAACCCACCAGGGUUGAAAACCUGGGGGAUGAGCUGUGGGUAGGGGUGAAAGGCCAAUCAAACUCCGUGAUAGCUGGUUCUCCCCGAAAUGCAUUUAGGUGCAGCGUCACAUGUUUCACGCCGGAGGUAGAGCUACUGGAUGGUCUAGGGGGCCUACAAGCUUACUGAAAUCAGCCAAACUCCGAAUGCCGGUGUGUGAAGUGUGGCAGUGAGACUGCGGGGGAUAAGCUUCGUAGUCGAGAGGGAAACAGCCCAGAACACCGGCUAAGGCCCCUAAGUGUGCGCUAAGUGGGAAAGGAUGUGGGGUCGCUCAGACAACCAGGAGGUUGGCUUAGAAGCAGCCACCCUUUAAAGAGUGCGUAAUAGCUCACUGGUCAAGUGGUUCCGCGCCGACAAUGUAGCGGGGCUUAAGCGUACCGCCGAAGCCGUGUCAUUCACACUAUAGAUCGGCUCCCGGGCUUGAACCGGGUGUCUAGUCGUGUGGAUGGGUAGGGGAGCGUCGUGCAUCCAGGGAAGCAGCCGCGUGAGCGAGUUGUGGAGGGUGUGCGAGUGAGAAUGCAGGCAUGAGUAGCGAUUGCAGAGUGAGAACCUCUGCCGCCGGAUGACCAAGGGUUCCUGGGCCAGGUUAAUCCGCCCAGGGUAAGUCGGGACCUAAGGCGAGGCCGACAGGCGUAGUCGAUGGACAACGGGUUGAUAUUCCCGUACCCGUGUGGAUGCGCCCAUGGUGAGGCGAGGGAUACUAACCACCCGAGCGAAGUGGAUCCUUCGGGAGAAACUGAGUGAGCGUGGGAUCUGAUCUCGUAGUAGUCAAGCGAUGGGGUGACGCAGGAAGGUAGCUCCGCCAGUGAGUGGUAGUACUGGUGUAAGCGUGUAGGCCGGGUGAUAGGCAAAUCCGUCAUCCAUGUAGGCUGAGACGUGAUGCGUAGCCGAUUGAGGCGAAGUAGAGUGAUCCUAUGCUGCCGAGAAAAGCCUCUAGUGAGUGUUCACGCGGCCCGUACCCCAAACCGACACAGGUGGUCAGGUAGAGAAUACCGAGGCGUUCGGGUGAACUGUGGUUAAGGAACUCGGCAAAAUGCCCCCGUAACUUCGGGAGAAGGGGGGCCCGCUGACUUGAAGCUCUUUACGGGCUAGGGUUGGUUGGCCGCAGAGACCAGGGAGAAGCGACUGUUUACUAAAAACACAGGUCCGUGCGAAGUCGCAAGACGAUGUAUACGGACUGACGCCUGCCCGGUGCUGGAACGUUAAGGGGACCGGUUAGUCACUUUGGUGGCGAAGCUGAGAACUUAAGCGCCAGUAAACGGCGGUGGUAACUAUAACCAUCCUAAGGUAGCGAAAUUCCUUGUCGGGUAAGUUCCGACCUGCACGAAUGGCGUAACGACUUCUCCGCUGUCUCAACCACAGGCCCGGUGAAAUUGCAUUACGAGUAAAGAUGCUCGUUACGCGCGGCAGGACGGAAAGACCCCGGGACCUUUACUAUAGCUUGGUAUUGGUGUUUGGUUCGGCUUGUGUAGGAUAGGUGGGAGACUGUGAAGCUGCGACGCUAGUUGUGGUGGAGUCAUCGUUGAAAUACCACUCUGGUCGUACUGGAUAUCUAACCUCGGACCGUGAUCCGGUUCAGGGACAGUGCCUGGUGGGUAGUUUAACUGGGGCGGUUGCCUCCCAAAGGGUAACGGAGGCGCCCAAAGGUUCCCUCAGCCUGGUUGGCAAUCAGGUGUUGAGUGUAAGUGCACAAGGGAGCUUGACUGUGAGACUGACGGGUCGAGCAGGGACGAAAGUCGGGACUAGUGAUCCGGCACUGGCUUGUGGAAGCGGUGUCGCUCAACGGAUAAAAGGUACCCCGGGGAUAACAGGCUGAUCUUGCCCAAGAGUCCAUAUCGACGGCAUGGUUUGGCACCUCGAUGUCGGCUCGUCGCAUCCUGGGGCUGGAGUAGGUCCCAAGGGUUGGGCUGUUCGCCCAUUAAAGCGGCACGCGAGCUGGGUUUAGAACGUCGUGAGACAGUUCGGUCCCUAUCCGCCGCGCGCGUUGGAGACUUGAGGAAGGCUGUCCCUAGUACGAGAGGACCGGGACGGACGAACCUCUGGUGUGCCAGUUGUUCUGCCAAGGGCAUGGCUGGUUGGCUACGUUCGGAAGGGAUAACCGCUGAAGGCAUCUAAGCGGGAAGCCUGUUUCGAGAUGAGGUCUCCCACCCUCUUGAAGGGUUAAGGCCCCCUAUAGACGAUGGGGUUGAUAGGCCCGAGAUGGAAGCCUAGUAAUAGGUGGAGUUGACGGGUACUAAUAGGCCGAGGGCUUGCUCAC
rnacentral:rRNA from 1 species